rnacentral:rRNA from 1 species
GACGAACGCUGGCGGCGUGCUUAACACAUGCAAGUCGAGCGGUAAGGCCCUUCGGGGUACACGAGCGGCGAACGGGUGAGUAACACGUGAGCAAUCUGCCCUCCACAUCGGGAUAACCCCCGGAAACGGGAGCUAAUACCGGAUACGACCACUUCAGGCAUCUGAUGGUGGUGGAAAGUUCCGGCGGUGGAGGAUGAGCUCGCGGCCUAUCAGCUUGUUGGUGGGGUAACGGCCCACCAAGGCUUCGACGGGUAGCCGGCCUGAGAGGGUGACCGGCCACACUGGGACUGAGACACGGCCCAGACGCCUACGGGAGGCAGCAGUGGGGAAUAUUGGACAAUGGGCGAAGGCCUGAUCCAGCAACGCCGCGUGAGGGAUGACGGCCUUCGGGUUGUAAACCUCUUUCAGCAGGGACGAAGCGCAGGUGACGGUACCUGCAGAAGAAGCACCGGCCAACUACGUGCCAGCAGCCGCCGCCGUAA